UUGGUGUUUUAACUGCGGAGAACAUCGCGGGAACACUUUCUUCGAUUUCAAACAGUAAAAUGCCUUGAAUACUUCUCAAAUCAAGUCAAAACUGCUGCAGCAGAAGAGGUUGUCCCAUGAUCCUGGCCCACGAGGUGUGAAAGCGAGUAUGGUUUGUGUAUUCCUUUACAAUGCCGAGGUGGCAGUACCCAGUUUAAACAGGGUCCAGGACCAACCGCCUUCCCGCGACUGACCCCACCAUCCUCCCAUCGAUGUAUACAAGCCACCGGUCCUCCUCAUAAACCCUUCUGAAAAUCAGAGACCAUCUGAAAAUCACUAUGGACCAAUAAAGAGAGUGGUGAUAAUUCACGAUGAACUGGUGUAAUAGUUUUAAAUGCCCAUAUGAGGGAGUGUUCCGGAAAAGAAUGAUUUUGUGAAAAAUAUCGUAAUGUAAUAUGUGAAAUUUCUUGACAUGUAUUUUGCUCAUGGAAUAAAAGCAAUUCUUCGUCAGAUUUCCAAAGCCAUUUUCUCCAUCUGUCGAAUUCGAUAUCCUUAAUGCAGCUGCCGAGUCGGUAUAAGUACUUUAUCACCCGAAAAUGGUCGCAAGAAUCGAGUGAAGAUGAUUUGAGGCAAAAUGUGAUUUGUUUGAGAAUUGUUCUCACAGAGCACUACUG